GAUGAAGAACGUAGCGAAAUGCGAUAAGUAAUGUGAAUUGCAGAAUCCAGUGAAUCAUCGAAUCUUUGAACGCACAUUGCGCCCGCCAGUAUUCUGGCGGGCAUGCCUGUCUGAGCGUCAUUUCAACCCUCAUGCCCCUAGGGCGUGGUGUUGGGGAUCGGCCAGCGCCCGCGAGGGACGGCCGGCCCCUAAAUCUAGUGGCGGACCCGUCGUGGCCUCCCCUGCGAAGUAGUGAUAUUCCGCAUAGGAGAGCGACGAGCCCCUGCCGUUAAACCCCCAACUUUCUAAGGUUGACCUCAGAUCAGGUAGGAAUACCCGCUGAACUUAAGCAUAUCAAUAAGCGGAGGA
rnacentral:misc_RNA from 1 species